GAUUGUGUGGUGUGUGGCGGUGCGGGUGUUUGUGUGUGUGUCUCCGAGUCCCUGGGAGAGUGGAGGCUCAUUCACUGAUUAGAGCCAGCGCUGAGAGGCAGCACUGCUCCUUCUCUCACACCAACCGAGUCUCUUGAUCUGUACAUGCAAUCCCAGGCAGCUCGCGACCACAAACCCGGGGCCGGCCGCCUGCUGCUGCCGCUGCCGCUGCCGCCGCCGCCGCCGCCGCCGCUGCCUCCGCCGGCUCUGCGCACCCCGGACUUUUCAUGCACCACACUCACCGCCUCCUUCCCUCCGUGUCCUGAAAAGUGCGACCGUUCUCCCAAGGAAUUUCCACGGCAAGUCGUAGAAGGGGAUGAUUCCCCAGUAAUAUUCCCUGCCCUGAUCCAAGGUGCCACUCGGCCUCCCUCCCAGGGAAGACUGCUUCUUGUGUGACACCAGCCAUAGAAAGAGACUCCGAUGGACUUACACCGGGCAGCCUUCAAGAUGGAGAACUCAUCCUACCUCCCCAAGGCCCACUACUUCCCACUCGGUGGCUGCCGAGCGCUAACAUUUACUUGUCUCUUGUCGCUGAGCGUUGACAGUUCCGAUAGGACAUGUUUUUCUGAAGGUAGCCAGAGGCAAGUUGGCCUCCACGCUGCCUCUCUCCGGGGCAUGAUUGGCUUAUUCUCUGGGGACUCUGGAGUGAAGAGGGGUGCCAAUGUAUACUAGAGUGAAUGUCAUUUUAUUAGAAAGCGUAGGUUCCUAGGGAUUGGGGGGGGGCCUGAAGAAUGAAGAAUGGAAGGGAAAAGAAACUCAUCCAAUCCCUCCCUCUUGUUUCCUCAUAUAUUUCCUGAACUUGGAACAAUUUAUUUUUUAGUUUUUCCAUUGUAUCACAUCCAGUGGACUCCACAUGAUUUUAUUUUCCCAACUCCCAGCCCUUGUCUACAUCAGGCUGUUUUUCAGAGAAGGACAAAGGUGUCGUCAAUCACCAUAAAGCAUUUCAAACAGCUGUGUUUUCCUUGCGAUCGCAAGGCUAGAAAGCCGACUUCUCUUGGGAUUUAACAGGUUUGCUGGAUGCUUAUCCUGGGGCUCACUUUUAGGACUAGACACGGUUAACCUGUGUAACUGCUCCAUAUUUGAUGUUCACAACUAUUAUUAAUUUCUGCUUAUGGAACAGCUUUCUCGUGUUCUCCCAGUGCCUCGGUGAGCUUUGGCGACCCUCGCUAAUAUUUGGAACUAAACCUUUAUUUGGAACUUGUAGACCAGGAGUGCUGAACCCUGCAAUCUUCUCCUCUAACGGAAUCAGAAAAUAAUUGCGUUCUGACGCUUUCGGGCUAUGGGUAGGCAGAGCAGUUUUCUUCAAGCCUGGUGAGAAUUUAUGAACUGAGGGUGUUUUUCCACCCAACCCUUUGUUCUAAGACUUGGUUCAUUUUAUUUUCUUAAGAAAACUACAUUUCUGAGGGUGGUUGGCUUUCCCUCUUAUCAUAUUUCUUGUUGCUUCAUGUCCUUAUUACAAAAAAAAAAAAAAAAAAAACCACCAACACGAAUACCAUUUUUUUUUUCUCUUCUCUUUAUGUUGCCGAGGAGAGUAAUAGAGACAUUGCAGCUCUCUCCCCUGUCGGCACUGCUUCCUCAGGCUGUCUCCUUGAAUUAGGCACUGUGUUAACUUUCCUGUGCUAAAAGGCAUCUGCCUAAACCCAGCGUACCUUUUCAAUAAAAGUCAUCAUAAAAUCAACCUGCCUUGUAAAUCCAUCGCUCUUUGGUUUUGAAAUAUGUUGCAAGUGUGUCUUUUAUGUCAGCGUCUGUAAGCCCGAGACCUCCUCACUUCAGGAGAAGAGCUGCGGUUAAAGAAGCCUUGCUGUAUGGUAUGCCAGCACGAGUGCCCGUGUGUUCUCUCACUUCCCCACUCUCCCCUUCUGGACAGCUGGUGUGUGUGUUACCAUUUGCUUUCUGGGUACACCCGCCGGACACCCAGUUGGCAUUGCGUUGGUCUGUUCUGUUUUACUUUCGGGCAGUGUUCAUUUGUCAGUGUGCAGAGUGAUCAAGGCGAGCUGUAGUCUGACCUCUGGCUAAAGCUGCCCUGGGUGAGGGUACGACGGGUUCUGUCCCUUUUUUUGCUCCAAAUACAAGUUGAAAAUGAAAUCCUCUCAAAACUAAUAGGCCACAAAGUGACAUCUGGAGAUCAAGAUUCCUUUCUUCUCUCCCAACAGAUCCGGCUUGUCUCCAUUUUUCUCUCUUUUUAGCCCAAACCUAAACCUGGGUCCAUGGAUCCGCAAGAGCAGUGAGCCAGCCACUGUAAGUUCAAGUCAGAACUCAUAGAUGUGGCUGUCCAUUACCCCUCUGAGUGUCAAAGCCAUAACUCUUCCGUUUGCCUGGUUUGCAUUGUGUGGUGGUGCCAUCCCCCAUGGAGAUGGAUCCCUCACCACAGGCUACGGGCACUGGCCUGGGUUGGAGAAAAAUUAAAUGAGUCUAUCUCCCAAAGUGAAAUGGAAUUCUGACCUUGAAAUUAAUGAGAUUCUGAUCAGAAGGGUGGAGAAACUUCUUUAUUUCAAAUUGUGUUACAGAAAUUGGAACCCUUGUCCCUUUUAUUUGCUUAAAAUAUUCUUUCUUUAGAGAGUACUUUGUGUUCCUUUCUUCUCUCACACAAACAUAAAACCUACGGGCUUGUCUAUGAGUGUAGGAUGUUUGCACACCCGCAUUAUUACUAGAAUUGCAUUUGUGACUAAUCUUUGACAAGAAACAAAGAUGCAAAGUGAAGAGGAGCCUCUUUGCCUCUGAUAGCCCUGGAUCUGGGCUCCUUCCUCCUUUCCUUUCCUUAGGUGCCAGAGCCCCCUUCACAGGGUGGUACUGGGCAGCGUUUGUGCUUUUGAUUUUGAUUUUGAGUUUUUUUUUGGAAUGGCAGAGGAGAAAAUUGUUUCUGUAGGGAAGGGUUGAAGAGGCACUGUGACAAAGUCUGCAGCAGCUUUCUUGGCUCCUGUCAUAUGCCGACGUGUGUCGGAAUAUUUAUGGUCUGUUUUAUGUAAAUACAUAUUUAAGGGCCGUUAGAAGGCCUGAUUAUUCCCACUAGAUGCCUUUCAGGUCCUCCCUACAGAACCGUUUUGAAAUAAGUAAUAUUUCUCAGAUAAUCGAGUGACAGUGUACAAGACUGCUUCCAAAGGG
rnacentral:lncRNA from 1 species